GAUGAACGCUGGCGGCGUGCCUAAUACAUGCAAGUCGAGCGAACAGACGAGGAGCUUGCUCCUCUGACGUUAGCGGCGGACGGGUGAGUAACACGUGGAUAACCUACUUAUAAGACUGGUAUAACUUCGGGAAACCGGAGCUAAUCCCAGAGAAUAUAUUGAACCGCAGGGUUCAAUAGUGAAAGACGGUGUUGCUGUAACUACUCGAUGCAUCGGGGCCGUUUUAGCUAGUUGGUAAGGUAACGGCUUACCAAGGCAACUAGGCGUAGACGACCUGAGAGGGUGAUCGGCCACAGUAGAACUGAGACACGGUCCAUACGCCUACGGGAGGCCGCAGAAGGGAAUCUGACGCAAUGGGCGAAAGCCUGACGGAGCAACGCCGCGUGAGUGAUGAAGGUCUUCGGAUCGUAAAACUCUGUUAUUAGGGGAGAACAAAUGUGUAAGUAAAUAUGCACGUCGUGACGGUACCUAAUCAGAAAGCCACGGCUAACUACGUG
rnacentral:rRNA from 1 species